UACUAGAGUAGCACUCGCAUAUCAAUAAGCGGAGGAAAAGAAACUAGCAAGGAUUCCCCUAGUAACGGCGAGUGAAGCGGGAAGAGCUCAAAUUUGAAAUCUUAAAGGGUUUCCCUUUACGAAUUGUAGUUUAAAGAAGUGUUUUCUGUUGAGGUUUUGGUAAAAGUUCUUUGGAAUAGGACAUCAUAGGAGGGUGAGAAUCCCGUAUUUGACCUUUACUUUCAACUUUGUGAUACACUUUCAAAGAGUCGGAUUGUUUGGGAAUGCAGUCCAAAAUGGGUGGUAAAUUUCAUCUAAAGCUAAAUAUUGGCGAGAGACCGAUAGCGAACAAGUACCGUGAGGGAAAGAUGAAAAGAACUUUGAAAAGAGAGUUAAACAGUACGUGAAAUUGUCGAAAGGGAAGCGUUUGACACCAGUGUUGUUUUUCUGAAAAUCAAUUAAAGAACUGUUUAUGCUAAGCUGUUUAGACUUUAUCAGCUAAUCUGUUUAGUUUUGAGCUUUUCUUUAAUGCACUUUUCAGUUAACAAGUCAACAUCAAUUUCUUUUGCUGUAAAAAAGCUUGAGGAAGGUGGCUUGAGAUUCGUCUUAAGUGUUUAUAGCCUCUUGCCUAUGCAGUCGGAGAGAUUGAGGUCUGCAGCGUAGAUCCUUCGGGGCUAAAUGCAUUUGUGCUAAGUUAUAGCAUUUUAUAGACAACUUGUUGACUAUGAUUUGUCUUGUAGCUUACUCGCUUAUGUUAUUUUACCUACGCUUAGGAUGUUGAACUACUGAGACAUAGA
rnacentral:rRNA from 1 species